rnacentral:rRNA from 1 species
UACGUAGGGUCCGAGCGUUGUCCGGAAUUAUUGGGCGUAAAGGGCUCGUAGGCGGUUUGUCACGUCGGGAGUGAAAACUCAGGGCUCAACCCUGAGCGUGCUUCCGAUACGGGCAGACUAGAGGUAUGCAGGGGAGAACGGAAUUCCUGGUGUAGCGGUGGAAUGCGCAGAUAUCAGGAGGAACACCGGUGGCGAAGGCGGUUCUCUGGGCAUUACCUGACGCUGAGGAGCGAAAGCGUGGGGAGCAAACAGG